ACAUAGAUUCAGAGAAAGAGAGAUCGGGAGAGAGAGACAUACGGAGACUUAGAGAGAGAGAGUGACAUACCGAGAGAGAGAAAGACGGCUUGUGAGAUUGACAGCUUCUCUUUCUCACUCACUCACAUCGUCUCUACAUUUCUUAUUAAUUCAUUACCAAAAAAAAGAAGAGGAUAAAGAAGACCAACAGCUUUUAAGACCGAAAUUUGAUACAAAAUUUCACAGAGAGGGAUGCUGUCUUGUUAAACUGAUCAAAGGUGCACCUAGAAUGUUGUCAUUGGCUCAGGGAUAUGGAAUCUACCUGUUCUGAUCUAAUGUCUACGUGGCACACCAACGUCAGUUCCACUCAUGUCACCAGGACUUCUAAACUUAACAAUAAGGAUUACUUCAGGAAAAGAACCCACAUGAAUCACAACCAAAACAACAACAACAACAAAAACAAUCUUUAAAAAAAAUCACAGAAAAAGAAAAAAAAA